rnacentral:rRNA from 1 species
UACGUAGGGGGCAAGCGUUGUCCGGAAUUAUUGGGCGUAAAGAGCGUGUAGGCGGCCCGGUAAGUCAGCUGUGAAAGUCAAGGGCUCAACCCUUGAAUGCCGGUUGAUACUGUCGGGCUAGAGUGCGGAAGAGGCGAGUGGAAUUCCUGGUGUAGCGGUGAAAUGCGCAGAUAUCAGGAGGAACACCGGUGGCGAAGGCGGGUCUCUGGGCUGUAACUGACGCUGAGGAGCGAAAGCGUGGGGAGCGAACAGG